rnacentral:rRNA from 1 species
GAUCCUGGCUCAGGAUGAACGCUAGCUACAGGCUAACACAUGCAAGUCGAGGGGCAGCAUGAUCGAAGCUUGCUUUGAUUGAUGGCGACCAGCGCACGGGUGAGUAACGCGUAUCCAACCUUCCCUAUAGUAGAGAAUAGCCCGGCGAAAGUCGGAUUAAUGCUCUAUGUUGUAUUUAGAAGACAUCUGAAGAAUACCAAAGGUUUACCGCUAUAGGAUGGGGAUGCGUCUGAUUAGGUAGUAGGCGGGGUAACGGCCCACCUAGCCGACGAUCAGUAGGGGUUCUGAGAGGAAGGUCCCCCACAUUGGAACUGAGACACGGUCCAAACUCCUACGGGAGGCAGCAGUGAGGAAUAUUGGUCAAUGGACGGAAGUCUGAACCAGCCAAGUAAGCGUGCAGGAUGACGGCCCUAUGGGUUGUAAACUGCUUUUAUAUAGGGAUAAAGUCGGGGACGUGUCCCCGUUUGUAGGUACUAUAUGAAUAAGGACCGGCUAAUUCCGUGCCAGCAGCCGC